AUUGAACGCUGGCGGCAUGCUUUACACAUGCAAGUCGAACGGCAGCGCGGGCUUCGGCCUGGCGGCGAGUGGCGAACGGGUGAGUAAUACAUCGGAACGUGCCCAGUAGUGGGGGAUAGCUCGGCGAAAGCCGGAUUAAUACCGCAUACGACCUGAGGGUGAAAGCGGGGGAUCUUCGGACCUCGCGCUAUUGGAGCGGCCGAUGGCAGAUUAGCUAGUUGGUGGGGUAAAGGCCUACCAAGGCGACGAUCUGUAGCUGGUCUGAGAGGACGACCAGCCACACUGGGACUGAGACACGGCUCAGACUCCUACGGGAGGCAGCAGUGGGGAAUUUUGGACAAUGGGCGAAAGCCUGAUCCAGCAAUGCCGCGUGUGUGAUGAAGGCCUUCGGGUUGUAAAGCACUUUUGGCGGGAACGAAAAGGACUGUGCCAAUACCACGGUUCGAUGACGGUACCCGCAGAAUAAGCACCGGCUAACCACGUG
rnacentral:rRNA from 1 species